GUGAGGAAUAUUGGACAAUGGCCGAGAGGCUGAUCCAGCCAUGCCGCGUGCGGGAGGACGGCCCUAUGGGUUGUAAACCGCUUUUGUUGGGGAGCAAUAAGUCUUACGUGUAAGAUGAUGAGAGUACCCAGCGAAUAAGCAUCGGCUAACUCCGUGCCAGCAGCCGCGGUAAUACGGAGGAUGCGAGCGUUAUCCGGAUUUAUUGGGUUUAAAGGGUGCGUAGGCGGGCUGUUAAGCGUGAGGUGAAAGCUCGGGGCUCAACCCCGGAACUGCCUCGCGAACUGGCGGUCUUGAAUGUCCGUGCCGUGGGAGGAAUGUGUGGUGUAGCGGUGAAAUGCAUAGAGAUCACACAGAACACCGAUUGCGAAGGCAUCUCACGAACGGAUGAUUGACGCUGAGGCACGAAAGCGUGGGGAUCAAACAGG
rnacentral:rRNA from 1 species